UACAGAGGUCUCAAGCGUUGUUCGGAUUCAUUGGGCGUAAAGGGCGCGUAGGCGGCCAUUCAAGUCGGAGGUGAAAGCCCAGGGCUCAACCCUGGAAUUGCCUUCGAUACUGUUUGGCUGGAGACCGGAAGAGGUAAGUGGAACUGCGAGUGUAGAGGUGAAAUUCGUAGAUAUUCGCAAGAACACCAGUGGCGAAGGCGGCUCACUGGCCCGGUACUGACGCUGAGGUGCGAAAGCGUGGGGAGCAAACAGG
rnacentral:rRNA from 1 species